rnacentral:lncRNA from 10 species
CUGGGAACAGAAAAAGACACAAAGUAAAUAGAUUGCCAAGGAGUGAAUAACUUGAAGCCUACAACAGCUAACUCGUUAGUCUAAAGCUACAGAGAAUCUUCCAGAGUCCAAAAGGCCAAACUUCCUGACUUAGUGCACUUUCUGUGACUUACAACAGAAGCCAGCACAGCAUCUAACACAUAGAGGGUGUGCCACAAAUAGUUACUGAAAAAAGAAAACAAGGAAUGAAGAAUUGAAUGAACAAAUACCAAAUGUGCUGCAUGAAUUUUGGAAGGACUGAUUUUCUAAGGCAGAAGAAGACUAAUAGUCCAUGUUGCAAAGAUCAACAGACCACAAUUGUGAUGACUCGAGCAAGCCAUAAGAUAACCCUUCUCAGAGCAGAGCGUGGAAAUGUUCUUGCAGCCCCCAUUACAUGUGCAAAAAGUAAUCAUAAGUAAUACAUCACCUUCCCACACAAAGGGUAAAGAGAUCCAUA